rnacentral:tRNA from 3 species
GCCGAUGUGGCGGAACUGGUAGACGCACAGGACUCAAAAUCCUGCGGUGGCAACACCAUGAGAGUUCGACUCUCUCCGUCGGCA